rnacentral:rRNA from 1 species
GAUCAUGGCUCAGGAUGAACGCUGGCGGCGUGCAUAACACAUUCAAGUCGAACGGGGCAGCAAUGCCUAGUGGCGGACGGGUGAGUAACGCGUGAGCAACCUGCCCUUGCGUGGGGGAUACCAUCUGGAAACGGAUGUUAAUACCGCAUAAAGUACAGGCGACCGCAUGGUCGUAGUACCAAAGAUUUAUUGCGCAAGGAUGGGCUCGCGUCCCAUUAGAUAGUUGGUGAGGUAACCGG